CCAGACUCCUACGGGAGGCAGCAGUGGGGAAUAUUGGGCAAUGGAGGAAACUCUGACCCAGCAACGCCGCGUGAAGGAAGAAGGCUUUCGGGUUGUAAACUUCUUUUCUCAGGGACGAAGAAAGUGACGGUACCUGAGGAAUAAGCCACGGCUAACUACGUGCCAGCAGCCGCGGUAAUACGUAGGUGGCAAGCGUUAUCCGGAUUUACUGGGUGUAAAGGGCGUGUAGGCGGGACUGCAAGUCAGAUGUGAAAACCAUGGGCUCAACCUGUGGCCUGCAUUUGAAACUGUAGUUCUUGAGUACUGGAGAGGCAGACGGAAUUCCUAGUGUAGCGGUGAAAUGCGUAGAUAUCAGGAGGAACACCGGCGGCGAAGGCGGCCUGCUGGACCGCGACUGACGUUGAGGCUCGAAAGCGUGGGGAGCGAACAGGAUUAGAUACCCGGGUA
rnacentral:rRNA from 1 species